rnacentral:rRNA from 1 species
UACGUAGGGUGCGAGCGUUGUCCGGAAUUACUGGGCGUAAAGAGCUCGUAGGUGGUUUGUCGCGUUGUUCGUGAAAACUCACAGCUCAACUGUGGGCGUGCGGGCGAUACGGGCAGACUAGAGUACUGCAGGGGAGACUGGAAUUCCUGGUGUAGCGGUGGAAUGCGCAGAUAUCAGGAGGAACACCGGUGGCGAAGGCGGUUCUCUGGGCAUUACCUGACGCUGAGGAGCGAAAGUGUGGGGAGCGAGCAGG